rnacentral:rRNA from 1 species
AACGUAGGAGACAAACGUUAUCCGGAUUUACUGGGCGUAAAGGGCGUGUAGGUGGUUGCGUAAGUCUGGCGUGAAAUUUUUCGGCUUAACCGGGAAAGGUCGUCGGAUACUGCGUAGCUAGAGGACGGUAGAGGCGUGUGGAAUUCCGGGUGUAGUGGUGAAAUGCGUAGAGAUCCGGAGGAACACCAGUGGCGAAGGCGACACGCUGGGCCGUACCUGACACUGAUGCGCGACAGCAUGGGGAGCAAACAGG